ensembl:lncRNA
UGCAGCCAUGGGCUGUUUUCCCCCGUAGGGCGGAGGGAAGCUCAUCGGUGGGGCCACGAGCUGAGUGCGUUUACGUCACUCUACCCCCUGUCCCUUGGGAAGGUCUGAGACUAGGGCCAUAAAGCGGCCCUAACAGGGCCCUCCCUGACCUUCAGGGAGGUGGGUUCCCAGAGAACGGGGCUCCGCGCGAGGGCAGACUGGGCAGGAGAUGCUGUGGACCCCGCCCUUGGGGAGGGGCCCGGCGGAUGCCUCCUUAGCCGGAGCUUGGAACAGACUCACGGCCAGCGAAGUUGAAGAUGGAAUCCACUGAGGAAGGCAGGCCUAGGUCUUCAGCAUCCUGUGUGCCAGUCCAGAAGUGGCACUGUGGAAGCCUCUAUAACAUCUGCGGCAGACCCCCUAAAAAUCAAGGGCCUGGGUCUGAACAUUCUCAGUAGGAAUGGUUAAAGGCUGAUGGGACCAUACAGAAAUGAUGCUAGGUAGCUGAUAGAUCUGUAGUUCAACUUGAUUCCUAGAUAGAAGCUGGAUUCAUCUAAUACCAGAAAAAUGAAAUCUCACGUUACUGAAACUAGAUCUGAGUCUCACUUCUUUCCCAGCCUGGAACUCCUGGGUGCUGUGAGUCCUGGAUAUAUAAUAGAUGGUGACAACAUCUUUCUUUUAUGCAUGAAGGUAGAUGAUUCUUCAAAUUAAAGAUGGAAGCUGACUUCUCACCAGAAAUGGUUUGUAGAAUCAACUUACAAAAAUGUCAGAGGCAGCGAAGGAAAGAGUAAAAUAUUUCUUUCUAUCAGCCUUCGAUUCUUUGCUAGAUUGUAAACUUCAUGAAAGCAGAAUAACUUCCUUAUCCCUAAUGCCUGGCCCAGAAUAGAUACUCAAAAAAUAGUUGAAAUGAAUGGAAAUCUCCCUUGGUUUUUUUUUUUUCUUCCUUUUUUAAUCUCUGGAAAAUGGCAACCAUCGUAAUGGCAUUUCCACAAGACAUUUACAUGGAAUAACUAGGACUUAAAUUUUGAUUCUGAUGUAAAAUGUACAUGUAGGUACAUUAAACUAUCUUGGUAAUAAUAAGUCUACUUAAAACUCUUAAUAUUUGAGGCCAGCCCCUUGGCCAAGUGGUUAGGUUCUCAUGCUCCACUUCGGCAGCAUAGGGUUUUGCUACUUUGAAUCCCAGGUGCAGACCUAACACUGCUCAUCAAGCCAUGCUGAGGCAGCGUCCCACAUAGCACAACUACAAGGACCUACAACUAGAGUAUACAACUGUGUACUGGGGGGUCUUGGGGAGAAGAAGAAGAAAAAAGAUUGGCAACAGAUGUUAGCUUAGGUGUCAGUCUUAAAAAAAAAACCUCAAUAUUUGAUUAUGACUUGAUCUUUCAAGAGGCAAUGAAGAAUGACUGCCAAAACAACGUACGUACGUAAGGAAUAGAUAUAUAAAAGCUUACUGAUAUUUAAUAGGAAAUCUUUUAUUAUGAACAGUUUAUUUAUAGCUUUAUUGGAUAUUUAUCACUGACAGAAAUUGCACUUACCACUCAUGUACGGUUAAACAGUCAUUAUUUCUGCUUUAUAUUUAAUAUUGAAAUAUUCUUAAUUGUUUUGGCUAAAUUAAUACCUUGGGACUUGUUUUUGCCCUGUAUACUGUAUUUACAUCCAUGAGGGUAUAUUUAACAUGCAAAGGGUACCAAAUACUCAUUCAAAUAAUGGAAGUCUGGUACAUCUCACUGUGUUUUGGAAUGAGAUUUAAUACUCAUGCUCAUACCAGAAUCACACAAAUGGUAUGCAACUAUAAUCACUUCUGUUAGAGUAUGAAAUCUAUUUUUUAGAUUAAGAUCCUUCUAUUAAAACAAAUAGAAGUAUCAAAUUAGUUUUAGAGUAGAUGAUGCUAACAGUCUAAGAUUCAAAGAUAACGGAAUAAUUAUCUCAAACUCUUGGAGAAAUAUGGUAUGUAAAUACUCAUAAUAUACCUGAUAUUUA